GUUAGAUCCUGCCCUGGUAUUAAGACGUUCCCCGCAAACCUGCACAAACGGCUGGACAACAUCGAGAAGAAAAACAUAGAUGCCCAUUAUUCUGAAGAUUCAUCAAGGCCCAUCCCUAUCCUUUUGAAACCGAAGACAUGGGCAUAUGCCAUCCGUAGAGAUUAGAGAAUCACAAGAAUACCAGUACGGAAGUUGUCAUGCAGAAUCCAUCCAGCACAAGCAGAUGGGAAACAGAGAUCACUUGGAGUAGAAGUAUUGCCGUGCAAAAGACGCCCACCGGAACAGUGAGACCAGUAAUCCGAAAGUGCUCCUAUAAUACUAUUGGCUAUCAUUCUGUUACCAGAAAUAGAUGUUGUUUGAAUAGCAAGUACUUGUAUUUUGCCGCCCCUGUUUUCCAAGAGGCACGGCGACACUCUGCCCUGGGCACUGUCAGUUUUUUGUCAAAAUUCUGUCGCAGUUCCCCAAUUUUUUUUAUGGACUUGUAUAUCAGUGAGACUAUGGAUGGAGUUAUCCCUUAUUGUGCAAAGAAACAUAGGUGAUGAUCUUGAAAAUGUAGCUUGCUUGUGGACUAGCAACAGUAAAAACAUCGUGAUUAACAUGGUUGCUUCUUAACUUGUAUUUCCUUUUUAACUUGUAUUUCCUUUUUGAGUGCUAUACCCAGAAGAGGUAACUUCUUAACUUGUAUUUUCCCACCUCUUUUUACCUACAGUCAUGUCAUUGUAUUUCCUUUCCAACAAGCAUGGCGGUAUUCUUCCCUGGGCAUUGACAGUUUUUUGUCGAAAUUAUGUCAUGGUUUUCCUG